rnacentral:lncRNA from 1 species
GCUCGAAUCUCCUACUGACCUGCAACCCCUGCAAUGAAUUGUAAAUAUGGUAAGGACUACCAGUAUCCAAUACCCAGUCAAUCAUAUCAUAAAUAAAGAAAUUGCAAGGAGUUAUCAUAUAAAUACCUUGCCCAGCAACAGCUUGCUUCUUUCUCUGCUUAUUCGGGUCCAGGGAGGCAAUGUACUGAGGAUAGUUCCUCUUCCAGUGCCUCCGCUUCUUGCAAAAGAAGUAU